rnacentral:rRNA from 1 species
GACGAACGCUGGCGGCGUGCUUAACACAUGCAAGUCGAGCGGAAAGGCCCUUCGGGGUCCUCGAGCGGCGAACGGGUGAGUAACACGUGAGUAACCUGCCCUAGACUUUGGGAUAACCCUCGGAAACGGGGGCUAAUACCGGAUACUCCUUCUAAAUCGCAUGAUUUGGAUGGGAAAGUUUUUCGGUCUGGGAUGGACUCGCGGCCUAUCAGCUUGUUGGUGGGGUAAUGGCCUACCAAGGCGAGGACGGGUAGCCGGCCUGAGAGGGCGACCGGCCACACUGGGACUGAGACACGGCCCAGACUCCUACGGGAGGCAGCAGUGGGGAAUAUUGCACAAUGGGCGGAAGCCUGAUGCAGCGACGCCGCGUGAGGGAUGACGGCCUUCGGGUUGUAAACCUCUUUCAGCAGGGACGAAGCGUAAGUGACGGUACCUGCAGAAGAAGCGCCGGCCAACUACGUG